ACACCGGAGAGGGAGCCUGAGAAACGGCUACCACAUCCAAGGAUGGCAGCAGGCGCGCAAAUUACCCAAUCCCGACACGGGGAGGUAGUGACAAUAAAUAACAAUACGGGGUUCUUUCGGAUCUCGUAACUGGAAUGAGUACAAUUUAAAUCUCUUAACGAGGAACAAUUGGAGGGCAAGUCUGGUGCCAGCAGCCGCGGUAAUUCCAGCUCCAAUAGCGUAUAUUAAAGUUGUUGCAGUUAAAAAGCUCGUAGUUGAAUUUCGGGGUUAGUAGGUUGGUCAUGCCUCUGGUAUGUACUGAUCUCACUGAUUCCUCCUUCCUGAUGAACCGUAAUGCCAUUAAUUUGGUGUUGCGGGGAAUUUGGACUGUUACUUUGAAAAAAUUAGAGUGUUUAAAGCAAGCUAACGCUUGAAUACAUUAGCAUGGAAUAAUGAAAUAGGACGUUCGAUCCUAUUUUGUUGGUUUCUAGGAUUGACGUAAUGAUUAAUAGGGAUAGUUGGGGGCAUUAGUAUUCAAUUGUCAGAGGUGAAAUUCUUGGAUUUAUUGAAGACUAACUACUGCGAAAGCAUUUGCCAAGGAUGUUUUCAUUAAUCAAGAACGAAAGUUAGGGGAUCGAAGACGAUCAGAUACCGUCGUAGUCUUAACCAUAAACUAUGCCGACUAGGGAUCGGAUGAUGUUAAUUUUUUAAUGACUCAUUCGGCGCCUUACG
rnacentral:rRNA from 1 species